rnacentral:rRNA from 1 species
UCGAACGCGAAAGUCCCCUUCGGGGGAUUAGUAGAGUGGCGUCCGGGUGAGUAACACGUAGGUAAUCUACCUUCGGGUGGGGAAUAACGCAGGGAAACUUGCGCUAAUACCGCAUAAUGCAGCGGCACCACAUGGUGACAGUUGUUAAAGCGGGGGAUUUUCGAACCUCGCGCCUGAAGAGGAGCCUGCGGCAGAUUAGCUAGUUGGUAGGGUAACGGCUUACCAAGGCGACGAUCUGUAACCGGCCUGAGAGGGCGGUCGGUCACACUGACACUGACAUACGGGUCAGACUCCUACGGGAGGCAGCAGUCGGGAAUUUUGGGCAAUGGGCGAAAGCCUGACCCAGCAACGCCGCGUGAAGGAUGAAAUCCCUCGGGAUGUAAACUUCGCAAGAAUGGGAAGAAUAGACGAGUACUAAUACUGCUCGUGAUGACGGUACCAUUUGUAAGCUCCGGCUAACUCCGUACCAGCAGCCGCGGUAAUACGGGGGGAGCAAGCGUUGUUCGGAUUUACUGGGCGUAAAGGGCGCGUAGGCGGUCAGCACAAGUCAGUUGUGAAAUCUCCGGGCUUAACUCGGAAAGGUCAACUGAUACUGUGCGACUAGAGUGCAGAAGGGGCAACUGGAAUUCUCGGUGUAGCGGUGAAAUGCGUAGAUAUCGAGAGGAACACCUGCGGCGAAGGCGGGUUGCUGGGCUGACACUGACGCUGAUGCGCGAAAGCCAGGGGAGCGAACGGGAUUAGAUACCCCGGUAGUCCUGUCCUUAAACGAUGGAUGCUUGGUGUCUGGAGUUUUAUAGUCUCCGGGUGCCGUA